AUGUAAAACACAGGAUGUGGUGAAGGAAGACUUUGCAAUCUGCUGAGGGGUAGACAUGCUGGGAUAGACGGAGAGGAUCUGGGGCAAGUGUGAGCUAAUGCGACCCCACGACCAACAGGAGGCUCCAGGAGCCAGAAGCUGGCACACUCCUGGAAUGGCUGGCUGACAGCAGGAUACACACUAAAUCCCCAGUCCAGAGCUUCCACGGGUUUUGCAUAUGUAUGAAACAAUGGUGCCCGAGAGGAACACUUGAGGAUGCGGAAACAGGGAAACGGGCUGGCACGGUUUGGUUUUAAAAGGCCGAUGAGAACAUUCUGUCAAGCACAGAAAGACAAAAUCUGCAACUCAUCUGAGGAUCUUCAUGAGCGAGGCGUGGAGGGAGAAGGGCUGCCUCUUUUUCCAAGUUUGGUUCUAAGAGAUGAGCAUUCGCUAACUGGCUGGUUUUAUGACAUCUCGACACAAGCCAGAAAGGAAGACAACCUCAACAGAGAAAAUGUCUCCAUAAGACGCGGCUAUACGUGAGGUGACCUGCGUGUGGGAGUGAUUCCCUUUGCCCCUCACCCUAGCCAUCGGCUGCAGUCCGGGGAGCUGGCUACCGGGUUUGAGAACAGGAGAGCUGGGCUUGCCCCCUCUGCCAAUCCCCCAGUGUCCUAAGCCUGCAGAUUUUCUUUCUGCACAAACAAUCCAACUAUCAGUCCAGAAUGGGGCAGCUGGAGCCAUGCCAGACUUGACCACAGACGGAGCCUCAGAGGAAGGACACCGGAGACGGCAGCAAAUACUCACAAGGCAGGAGCUUGUCCAUAUGACUUUGCUGACAAUUUCACCUCUGCACUCAUAACCCUUCCAGAGCAUGGGUAUAUAUACACUGCUAAUAAGAGCUGGGAUCUAAACCACUAAUACUCAAUAGGACCACACAACACAAGUGGCAGAACCAGGAUCUGAACCAGGUUCACCUGAGUCUGGCUCACCGCCACUAUACAUUUCUCAUCAUAUAUAUAUACAUAUAUAUGUAUAUAUAUAUAUAUGUGUGUGUGUGUGUGUGUGUGUAUACACACAUAUAUAAUGUAUAGACAAGACAUACAUACAUACAUAUAUGUAUAUGUAUGUGUGUGUAUAUAUAUAUGUGUGUGUAUAUAUAUGGAUGUCAUCUCCUAUACCCUGGGAGAAAGAACUGCCCAGCAAUUCUCUCAGGAAGCUGAGUUGAACAGAGAUAUGAGGGUAGUCAGAGAGGCCUCACACAAUUCCAAGUGUGGGUGGACCCCAGCUCUGUUCUUGCUUGCUGUGUGUCCCGGGGCUGGUCCCGGUCCUCUCUGAGCCCUCUGCCAAAUGCUGCAGAGCACACCUCUGACAGGCUGUGCCGUUCCUGCCUCCACCCUCAUAUCACCCCCAUGGAGGGGCAAGGUUAGGAACAGGGAAUGCUGCAGUGACUGGUAUCAGGCUUUACCGAGCAGUGAGUCGGAGCCAGGGUGACACCCUGCAUGCGCUCCCUCCACACUCCUGCACCCUGAGUCCGGCAGACACUAGGAUGUACACACAAGCACUGAGAGACACCCUGGACCAAUGUGGUGGACAUGUCCAGGUAAGGGAAUCACAGGUACUUCUGGGCUCUCUGCCUUGACCCCUCCUGUGGAGUGUAUGAUACAAAUGUGCCAUCCAUCAAAUGGCAGACUCACAGGCACGCUACUUAAUGGUGCAGAAAGGAAGAUGAGAGGCUCUCAGAGCCACGCCUCUGGGGACUGACACUGGGAAACAGCAGGAGCUGUGGAGGUUAGCUAGCGUUUUACAAAGAACACAAAGAAAAAGGAGAUUU